rnacentral:tRNA from 1 species
GCGGGCGUGGCGAAACCGGUAGACGCAGCCGACUUAAAAUCGGCUUCCCCAGGAGUGCGGGUUCGAGUCCCGCCGUCCGCACCA